UCCCCGUUACCGGGGCAGUCUAGCUAGAGAAAUUCAACUAACUAUAAGGGUUGCGCUCGUUGAUGGACUUAACCAAACAUCUCACGACACGAGCUGACGACGGCCAUGCAACACCUGUCACUGCGCUCUAAUAAAAGCACUCUCUCCUUUCGGAGAAAUUCGCAGGAUGUCAAACCUGGGUAAGGUUCUUCGCUUACCAUCGAAUUAAACAACACGCUCCACCGCUUGUGCGGGUCCCCGUCAAUUCCUUUGAGUUUUAAACUUGCGUUCGUACUACUCAGGCGGGAUGCUUAACGCGUUAGCUUCGCUACUAAGAGGGUCGAUACUCCUAACAGCUAGCAUCCAUAGUUUAGGGCGUGGACUAC
rnacentral:misc_RNA from 1 species